rnacentral:rRNA from 1 species
UACAGAGGUCCCAAGCGUUGUUCGGAUUCUACUGGGCGUAAAGGGUGCGGUAGGUGGUCGGGUAAGUCUAGAUGUGAAAUCUCCGAGCUCAACUCGGAAAUGGCAUUGGAUACUAUUCGGCUAGAGGAGUGGAGGGGGGACUAGAAUACUUGGUGUAGCAGUGAAAUGCGUAGAUAUCAAGUGGAACACCAGUGGCGAAGGCGAGUCCCUGGACACUUCCAUGACACUGGAGGCAACGAAAGCCUAGGGGAGCAAACAGG